UAGGGAAUCUUCGGCAAUGGACGAAAGUCUGACCGAGCAACGCCGCGUGAGUGAAGAAGGUUUUCGGAUCGUAAAACUCUGUUGUUAGAGAAGAACAAGGACGUUAGUAACUGAACGUCCCCUGACGGUAUCUAACCAGAAAGCCACGGCUAACUACGUGCCAGCAGCCGCGGUAAUACGUAGGUGGCAAGCGUUGUCCGGAUUUAUUGGGCGUAAAGCGAGCGCAGGCGGUUUCUUAAGUCUGAUGUGAAAGCCCCCGGCUCAACCGGGGAGGGUCAUUGGAAACUGGGAGACUUGAGUGCAGAAGAGGAGAGUGGAAUUCCAUGUGUAGCGGUGAAAUGCGUAGAUAUAUGGAGGAACACCAGUGGCGAAGGCGGCUGUCUGGUCUGUAACUGACGCUGAGGCUCGAAAGCGUGGGGAGCAAACAGG
rnacentral:rRNA from 1 species